UACGUAGGGUGCAAGCGUUGUCCGGAAUUAUUGGGCGUAAAGAGCUCGUAGGCGGUUUGUCGCGUCUGCCGUGAAAGUCCGGGGGCUCAACUCCGGAUCUGCGGUGGGUACGGGGCAGACUAGAGUGAUGUAGGGGAGACUGGAAUUCCUGGUGUAGCGGUGAAAUGCGCAGAUAUCAGGAAGAACACCCGUGCGAAAGCGGCUCUCUGGAACGGUACUGACGCUGAGACGCGAAAAGCGUGGGGGAGCGAACAGG
rnacentral:rRNA from 1 species